rnacentral:tRNA from 1 species
GCAUCCGUAGCUCAGCUGGAUAGAGUACUCGGCUACGAACCGAGCGGUCGGAGGUUCGAAUCCUCCCGGAAUGCACCA